GAGAAUGUAGAGCAUAGAACAUAUAACAACCUGAGUGAAGAAUUACAGGAAAUUGGAGUCUACCGCUGCACCCUUUCAUUCUUGUAUUUUGGUCAAGUAUACAAUGCCUCCUUCAGAGAAGUACUUUCUGUCCCAGUUGCAGUAAAGAAUCAGCUCACCCUUGGAAUCAAAGUACCAAGGGACGGUCAAGUGUUUGAAGUAGAACUUGGUGCAACAGUGGUGAUUAGUUGUAGAGC